AGUGAACGCUGGCGGUAGGCCUAACACAUGCAAGUCGAACGGCAGCACAGUAAGAGCUUGCUCUUACGGGUGGCGAGUGGCGGACGGGUGAGGAAUAGAUCGGAAUCUACUUUUUCGUGGGGGAUAACGUAGGGAAACUUACGCUAAUACCGCAUACGACCUACGGGUGAAAGCAGGGGAUCUUCGGACCUUUCGCGAUUGAAUGAGCCGAUGUCGGAUUAGCUAGUUGGCGGGGUAAGGGCCCACCAAGGCGACGAUCCGUAGCUGGUCUGAGAGGAUGAUCAGCCACACUGGAACUGAGACACGGUCCAGACUCCUACGGGAGGCAGCAGUGGGGAAUAUUGGACAAUGGGCGCAAGCCUGACCCAGCAAUACCGCGUGGGUGAAGAAGGCCUUCGGGUUGUAAAGCCCUUUUGUUGGGAAAGAAAAGCAGCGGGUUAAUACACCGAUGUUCUGACGGUACCCAAAGAAUAAGCAACGGCUAACUUCGUG
rnacentral:rRNA from 1 species